UGGUGGUGUCCCCUGAGGCCAGGUUUAGGGAGGUCCUGCUCUCAGCGGGCCCCUUGGCAGAGUGUCCUCUGUCAGGACCAAUUCUGAGACUGCCACCAAGUAGGGAAGGCUCUAGCAGGUGUCGUUCUACGUUUAGCGUCAUGUUCAGUGCUACAGAGAAUCCCCUGCUCGGUCCCUCUGCGUGCUGCUUGUGUAGUUGCUUAAACAAACAAUAAAACUUACUGGUUUUCACCUGUGUAACCAGAGGAUGGAUUUGUAGUUAUUUUUCAGACUCCGGGUCAAGAACACAAACUUAAGUGUUUAUUCAAACUGGCCGAUAGUUCUGAGACAUGAAGAUUUUACAACAGUGAAAAAUUGUUCCAUGUUUCCUGUGCAUUUCAAAAAUAAAGUUCAUCUGCUUCC
rnacentral:lncRNA from 1 species